GUGAGUAAUAGGAAAAUCAGUCCAGAAGACUGGUGCUUUGAUCAAAGUUCUGUGGAUACCUUGAGUUCUGUGGAUACCUUGAUCACUUUUUCAUUAUUUCUCUUGGGAAGAAAUCACACCACCAUCAGAGGCAUAUAGGUUUUUUUUUUGUUAUUUCUUUGUUGUUGUUGUUUUCCUAUUUAUUUGUUUGUUUGUUUGGGGGGGGGUUUCUUUGUGUAUUUUCCUGGAACUCAUUCUGUAGACCAGGCUGGCCUCAAGCUCACUGAGAUUCACCUGCCUCUGUCUCCCAGGUGCUAGGGUUAAAGGUAUGUGCCAGCAUCACCCGGCCCAAGAGUACAAUUCUAAAAAGCCCAUUUUUGCCUUCCCAGAUUAGAGCUUACUUUGAUUUAUAUGACAGUAACACAUGAUAAUAACAGGUCAUGUAUUAAGAUGCUUUAAGUUGUCAGUGGUGGCACGCUCCUUUAAUCCCAGCACUCGGGAGGCAGAGGCAGGCGGAUUUCUGAGUUCGAGGCCAGCCUGGUCUACAGAGUGAGUUCCAGGACAGCCAGGACUACACAGAGAAACCCUGUCGUGGGGGUGGGGGAGAAGUUGCUCUAAGUUUGUGAGACAUUCCUAAAUUAUGUAAGUCAUCAGCAGUCAUGUAGUGGAAUAGGUCGUAUCAUGUUAAGUUGUGUGUGUAUGUGUAUCCACCCUCCUCCCCCUUUUUUUCUUCUAGAUAAUAGCCCUGGCUGUCGUAGAACGCAUUCUGUAGACCAGGCUUGCCUUGAACUCAGAUCUCCUUACUUCUGCCUCCCUGGUGCUCAGACUAAUAAAGGCAUGGACCGCCACUGCCUGGCUUUUAUUUAUUUAUUUUAUUACAUUUUUGUUGUGUUUGUGGGUAUGGUCAUCCUCUGUCAUGUGACAGGAGGCCAGAGUUAUACCUUGCACAAGUCCAUUUUCUUCUACCAUGUAGGUCCUGUCUGUUGAAGGUCAGGUUAUUAGACUUGUUAGUAAGAGCCUUUGCUUGCUAAGCUAUCUUCUUGGUCCUGUUUUGCACUUUUUUUUUAAUACUUAUUUUAUGUAUAUGAGUAUACCAUAGCUGUCUUCAGACACACCAGAAGAGGGCAUCAGUUCCUAUUACAGAUGGUUGUGAGCCACCAUGUGGUUGCUGGGAAUUGAACUCAGGACCUCUGGAAGAGCAGUCAGUGCUCUUAACUGCUGAGCCCCUCUCCAGCCCCACUUUUUUUUUUUUUUUUUAAAGUUGAGAUUAAAAGUGAAAAAUAUGGGCCAGGUAGCAGUGGUGUUACAUGCUUUUGAGCCCAUCACUCAGGAGGCAGAGAGGCAGGUAGAUUUCUGAGUUUCAAGACAGCCAGGGCUACACAAGGACAUCCUGUCUUGAAAAAGAAAGAAAUCCAAAAGGGAAAGAAAAAGAAAUAAAAGCAGACUGGAGACUGCUCAGCACUUAAGGGUGCUGACUUCUUCCAGAGGAUCUGGGUUUGAUUCCUAACACCUAUAUGGUGGUUCACAAACUAUUGGUAACUGUAGUUCCUGCGAAUCUGACACCUCCUGGCCAGUACAUAGACAUGCAGAGUAAACACCAAUAUACAUAAAAUGAGUAAAAUUUAGAAAAACACCUCAAGCUUACUAUUAUGUGUGUUUUCUUAGAAAACUGCUUU
rnacentral:lncRNA from 1 species